GCCUACGGGGGGCAGCAGUAAGGAAUAUUGGGCAAUGGGCGAAAGCCUGACCCAGCAACGCCGCGUGGAGGAUGAAGGCCUUCGGGUCGUAAACUCCUUUUGUCGGGGACGAGGAAGGACGGUACCCGGCGAAUCAGUCACGGCUAACUACGUGCCAGCAGCCGCGGUAAAACGUAGGUGGCAAGCGUUAUCCGGAUUUACUGGGCGUAAAGCGUGUGCAGGCGGGAUCCCAAGUGGUGUAUGAAAGCACCCGGCUCAACCGGGUGAGGUUAUGCCAGACUGGGGUUCUGGAGGCUGAGAGAGGGACAUGGAAUUCCGGGUGUAGUGGUGAAAUGCGUAGAGAUCCGGAGGAACUCCAGAGGCGAAGGCGGUGUCCUGGCUCAGACCUGACGCUCAGACACGAAAGCAUGGGUAGCGAACGGGAUUAGAUACCCCGGUAGUCC
rnacentral:rRNA from 1 species